rnacentral:lncRNA from 1 species
AAGGAGCCACCUCGAGCGGUGGUGGUGGUGGUGGUGGCGGAAGGAGAAAAACCGUUGGAGGAGGAAAGAUAAGGUAUAGAGAGUGCUUGAAGAAUCACGCCGUUAACAUCGGUGGCCACGCCGUGGACGGUUGCUGCGAGUUCAUGCCUUCAGGUGAAGAUGGUUCACUCGACGCUCUCAAGUGUGCAGCUUGUGGCUGCCACCGCAACUUCCACCGCAAGGAAACCGAGAUCAUCGGCGGCAGAGCUCACAGAGUUCCAACUUACUACAACCGUCCGCCUCAGCUUCCACCGCCGCCAGGAUACCUUCAUCUAACAUCUCCGGCAACGGCAGGGCAGCCUUACAGGCCACCGGCUGCAUCGGCGGAUCAGGAGGAUACGUCUAAUCCGAGCAGCAGCGGCGGAACAACGGCUAAGAGGUUUAGAACGAAAUUCACGGCGGAGCAGAAAGAGAA